GGAGCGGUUUUCGCCGGUGAGAGCGGUCGGUCUUGAAAACCGUCGUGGCAGCGAUGUCACCGUGGGUUCAAAUCCCACACCCUCCG
rnacentral:tRNA from 1 species